rnacentral:rRNA from 1 species
GAUGAACGCUGGCGGCGUGCCUAAUACAUGCAAGUCGAGCGAACAGAUGAGGAGCUUGCUCCUCUGACGUUAGCGGCGGACGGGUGAGUAACACGUGGAUAACCUACCUAUAAGACUGGGAUAACUUCGGGAAACCGGAGCUAAUACCGGAUAAUAUAUUGAACCGCAUGGUUCAAUAGUGAAAGACGGUUUUGCUGUCACUUAUAGAUGGAUCCGCGCCGCAUUAGCUAGUUGGUAAGGUAACGGCUUACCAAGGCAACGAUGCGUAGCCGACCUGAGAGGGUGAUCGGCCACACUGUAUCUGAGACACGGUCCAGACUCCGACGGGAGGCAGCAGUAGGGAAUCUUCCGCGAUGGGCGAAAGCCUAACGGAGCAACGCCGCGUGAGUGAUGAAGGUCUUCGGAUCGUAAAACUCUGUUAUUAGGGAAGAACAAAUGUGUAAGUAACUAUGCACGUCUUGACGGUACCUAAUCAGAAAGCCACGGCUAACUACGUG